rnacentral:rRNA from 1 species
CCUACGGGUGGCAGCAGUGAGGAAUAUUGGUCAAUGGGCGGGAGCCUGAACCAGCCAAGCCGCGUGAGGGAAGAAGGUACAGCGUAUCGUAAACCUCUUUUGUCAGGGAACAAAGGCGGGGACUAGUCCCCGGAUGAGGGUACCUGAAGAAAAAGCAUCGGCUAACUCCGUGCCAGCAGCCGCUGUAAUACGGAGGAUGCGAGCGUUAUCCGGAUUUAUGUGGGUUAAAGGGUGCGCAGGCGGCCUGUUAAGUCAGAGGGAAAAGCCAGGGGCUCAACACCGGCGAGCCGGUGAAACUGGCGGGCUGGAGUUGGAGAGAAGUAGGCGGCAUGCGCGGUGUAGCGGUGAAAUGCUUAGAUAUCGCGCAGAACCCCGAUUGCGAAGGCAGCGUACCGGCUCCACACUGACGCUGAGGCACGAAAGCGUGGGUAUCGAACAGGAUUAGAUACCCGGGUAGUC